AUUGAACGCUGGCGGCAUGCUUUACACAUGCAAGUCGAACGGUAACAGGGUGCUUGCACCGCUGACGAGUGGCGAACGGGUGAGUAAUGCGUCGGAACGUGCCGAGUAGUGGGGGAUAACGCAGCGAAAGUUGUGCUAAUACCGCAUACGUACUGAGGUAGAAAGUGGGGGACCUUCGGGCCUCACGCUAUUCGAGCGGCCGACGUCUGAUUAGCUAGUAGGUGAGGUAAAGGCUCACCUAGGCGACGAUCAGUAGCGGGUCUGAGAGGAUGAUCCGCCACACGGGGACUGAGACACGGCCCAGACCCCUACGGGAGGCAGCUGUGGGGAAUUUUGGACAAUGGGCGAAAGCCUGAUCCAGCCAUGCCGCGUGUCUGAAGAAGGCCUUCGGGUUGUAAAGGACUUUUGUCAGGGAGGAAAUCCCUAGUGCUAAUAACACUGGGGGAUGACAGUACCUGAAGAAUAAGCACCGGCUAACUACGUGCCAGCCGCCGCCGUAA
rnacentral:rRNA from 1 species